CCCGCUGAACUUAAGCAUAUCAAUAAGCGGAGGAAAAGAAACCAACAGGGAUUGCCUUAGUAACGGCGAGUGAAGCGGCAAAAGCUCAAAUUUGAAAUCUGGCGCCUCUGGUGUCCGAGUUGUACUUUGGAGAGGCAUCUUCUGGAGGGGCCCGGCCUAUGUGCCUUGGAACAGGACAUCAUAGAGGGUGAGAAUCCCGUCCUUGGCCGGAUGUUCCCUCCUGUAUGUAGUGUCUUCUACGAGUCGAGUUGUUUGGGAAUGCAGCUCAAAAUGGGUGGUAAAUUUCAUCUAAAGCUAAAUAUUGGCGAGAGACCGAUAGCGCACAAGUAGAGUGAUCGAAGGAUGAAAAGCACUUUGAAAAUAGAGUCAAACAGUACGUGAAAUUGUUGAAAGGGAAGCGCUUGAGACCAGAGUCAGCCUUUGGCAAACAACUGUCCUUUUGGGUGGUGCACUUGUCAUUGGUUGGGCCAGCAUCGGUUGGGACGGCAGGAUAAAGGCCCAGGGAAUGUGACUCCUUUAUGGAGUGUUAUAGCCCCAGGCGGCAUGCUGUCAGCCCCGACCGUGGACCGCGCCUUGGCUCGGAUGCUGGCUUAAUGGUCUUCAGCGACCCGUCUUGAAACACGG
rnacentral:rRNA from 1 species